AUGUCAAAUAUAAAAUAAAAAAUCAUUUGCAAUGAAUUCGUAACAUCCUAAUAUCCUAUUGACAAACCAGGUUGUAUUCCGCCUGGCUCUUCUGUCGAGCAGUCAGCCAGGAUCCCAGGCUAUCAUUUUACUCUAAAAAUGACCAAAUACAUACUCCUUUGGCCAAACCCCAAAUAAUGUGCAAAUAUUUUCGUGGAGAAAUAAAAUUAAAGAACCUUAGUGAGCGCGCUCACAUGCCCCACGUCCCCACAUUGUCACUGGAGAAAUAAAAUAACUGUAAGAAAAAAAAAGUUGUAUAAGAAAAAAAAUGAAUCAUAAUUUCCUGUCGAUAUGUACAUCUACAUAGUAUGUCCUUAUUAUCUACAAGGUUUCAUGAAAUUCUGUGGUGUGGUUUCAGAGGAGUUGCGACGACAAACUGUUGCAGAGGUAUAUCGAAGCACAUAAGUUCAAAGGGGC
rnacentral:lncRNA from 1 species